GCAUGGAUAGCUCAGUGGCAGAGCGGUUAGGCAUUGACCCCAACGACCCGGGUUCAAGCCCAGGUCGAUGCA